rnacentral:rRNA from 1 species
GAAUCUUCCACAAUGGGCGAAAGCCUGAUGGAGCAACGCCGCGUGAGUGAAGAAGGUUUUCGGAUCGUAAAACUCUGUUGUAAGGGGAGAACAAGUACAGUAGUAACUGGCUGUACCUUCACGGUACCUUAUUAGAACGCCACUGCUAACUACGUCCCAGCCGCCGCGGUAAGACGUAGGUGGCAAGCGUUGUCCGGAAUUAUUGGGCGUAAAGCGAGCGCAGGCGGUCCUUUAAGUCUGAUGGGAAAGCCCACGGCUCAACCGUGGAGGGUCAUUGGAAACUGGGGGACUUGAGUGCAGAAGAGGAAAGUGGAAUUCCAAGUGUAGCGGUGAAAUGCGUAGAGAUUUGGAGGAACACCAGUGGCGAAGGCGACUUUCUGGUCUGUAACUGACGCUGAGGCGCGAAAGCGUGGGGAGCAAACAGG